UACGAAGGGUGCUAGCGUUGUUCGGAAUUACUGGGCGUAAAGCGCGCGUAGGCGGCUUUUCAAGUCAGGGGUGAAAUCCCACGGCUCAACCGUGGAAUUGCCUUUGAAACUGUGAAGCUGGAGUGUCGGAGGGGAUAACGGAAUUCCUAAUGUAGAGGUGAAAUUCGUAGAUAUUAGGAGGAACACCGGUGGCGAAGGCGGCUAUCUGGACGACAACUGACGCUGAGGCGCGAAAGCGUGGGGAUCAAACAGG
rnacentral:rRNA from 1 species